rnacentral:misc_RNA from 1 species
CAGAGUUGCAAAACUCCCAAACCCUUUGUGAACCUACCUAUCGUUGCUUCGGCAGGCAGCCCCAGGGCGGGGCUGUAGCCUUCACAAGGUGCCUGCCGGAGGAUUUUUAAACUCUGUAUUACUAUUGUUAUUCUGAGUAAAAACAUAAAUAAGUCA